CGUGUAGGCGGUGCGGUAAGUUGGGCGUGAAAUCCCCAGGCUUAACUUGGGGGGGGUCGUCCAAAAACUGCCGUGCUAGAGUGCAGGAGAGGGAAGUGGAAUUCCCGGCGUAGCGGUGAAAUGCGUAGAUAUCGGGAGGAACACCUGCGGCGAAGGCGGCUUCCUGGACUGCAACUGACGCUGAGGCGCGAAAGCUAGGGGAGCAAACAGGAUUAGAUACCCUGGUAGUCCUAGCCCUAAACGAUGAGCACUGGGUGUGGCCCUUCACCGGGCCGUGCCGAAGCUAACGCAUUAAGUGCUCCGCCUGGGGAGUACGGUCGCAAGGCUGAA
rnacentral:rRNA from 1 species